rnacentral:tRNA from 1 species
GGACUCGUAGCUCAGUGGUAGAGCGUUCGGUUCACAUCCGAAAGGUCAGAGGUUCGAGACCUCUCGAGUCCA